rnacentral:lncRNA from 1 species
GGAGACCACUACAUCCACAUCAAGAUACGAGUUCCAAAGAGGCUAACGAGCCGGCAGCAGAGCCUGAUCCUGAGCUACGCCGAGGACGAGACAGAUGUGGAGGGGACGGUGAACGGCGUCACCCUCACCAGCUCUGGAAAAAGAUCCACUGGAAACUAGGCCGGGAAGCAGCAGCCCCUCCAAGGGCCAGGGCACCUGGGAGACGGGAGGAUUCCAGAACAGCAGCACUGAGCUCCCACCCGCAGAGCCUCUGGACGGCCUUGGCAACAGCAAAAUCAUGGGACAACACCUCUCUCCACGGAAAGGUCACAGUGGACAGCCCGGGCAGUAGGAUGCAGCCCCAGAGGCUGGUGGCAGUUUCCUGUCCAUUGGUAGGUGACGGCCCCUGGCUCAGGCAGAGGGAGAUGGUUAGACUCUUGCAGGGCUAAAACUCUAAUUUGGAAUUGAAUAUUGUGGAUAUCUUAGUUAAAGGCCAUGCUUACAGCUUAGAAAUGAAGCCUUAAGCUGCAUCAAGUUACGAAGUGAUUAAUUUCCUUCUCAGCAAACCUCCGGGAGGUUCCAGAAUGAGUUCUUCCUGACAGGUUGUCUUCACUGGGAGCGUGGGGCCCCCAGGCCCCACCAGCACCGUCCUCCCCUAAUGAGGGGCCCUGCCGAGGCAUCAGCUGCUCUGCUCAGUUAGUUUUUAUUCCCGGGGUACCAAGCAGCUGCACAGUCGGUGCCUGGGAGGCACGUAGAGGCCCAGAGAGUCCCUGGGGGUUCUGCUCUGACCGUGUGGGUGGUGAUCCUUGUCAGGAUGUACAGUCCUUGCUCCCACCCCAUCCGGGAUGGCCGCCUGUCCCUGACUAUUGAGUCCUGUUGUUGUAAGCCAGGCAUGGAGGGCUCCUGCCCUUCUGCUGAGCCACAGCCCAUUGCAGCACUGUGCUGGCCAGACUUCAGCUGCCUUGGGAACUGAAGCCCUGCCACUGUUGCUAGUCAGGGGCUUGGUUCUCCCACUUACACUGUUGACAUCUAUUUUCUGAAGUGUGUUUAAAUUAUUCAGUGCUAAUCAUUGUUUUUUCCUUUGUAAAUGUUGAUUCAGAAAAGGAAAGCACAGGCUAAGCAGUUGAAGGUUCCCCACCAUUCAGUGAGAGCAGAACCCCCAUUCCCCAGCCUCUGCUGGUAGCAUGUCGCAGUUUCCAUGUGUUUCAGGAUCUUCGGGCUGUCGUUAGACAGGUUAAUGAAGAACACUUCUCAACAGUUUCCUUUUUGUUUUCCUUUAUAAUUCACUAAAAUAAAGCAUCUAUUAGUGUCUGAUUUAGGAAUGUAAAAUGAUUCUGUAUUAAUGUAAAUAAGAUUAUCUAUUGCAAAAAGAUAUUUC